GACAGAGGGUGCAAACGUUGUUCGGAUUUACUGGGCGUAAAGCGCGUGUAGGCGGCCUUGCAAGUCGGAUGUGAAAGCCCACGGCUCAACCGUGGAAGUGCAUCCGAAACUGCAUAGCUUGAGUCUCGGAGAGGAAGGUGGAAUGCUUGGUGUAGAGGUGAAAUUCGUAGAUAUCAAGCAGAACACCUGCGGCGAAGGCGGCCUUCUGGACGAUGACUGACGCUGAGGCGCGAAAGCUAGGGGAGCAAACGGG
rnacentral:rRNA from 1 species